CUUGUUAAAGGAAUUUAUUCACCGAAAAUCAGAUACAGAUUUUUAAAUUUGUUUCUAUGAUGAAGGGAUUGACAUCUGUUAAACCAAAAUCCACCAGUUCAGCGUAAGCAGUAGCAUCUGGUGGCCAUCAGAGUUUCGUCUUUAAACAUCUGAGAAUUCGAACGAUAAUUUCUGGAGCUUUUAUACUGGAAUCUCCGGGCAGCUAGCUUCGCCCUAAACAAUUCGAUUUUCCUCAAUACAACUGAAAUUUGAAUUGCGGAAUGCCCUUCUUCACACAGGUAUGGUACAAAAGUUACUAUGCGAUGGGUGGCCACAUCAUUAGCAUUCUGCUGCUGUGCUUCACGAGAGUUAAUUUGCUGAAAAACAUUCGCAGGUCGAGCUGGCGGAGUACUGGAGGAAGUGAAUGCACGCUCACUGUAACGCACAUGAUGAUCAACAAGAUUUAAUAAGCCUCUGGCAGCGGAAGAGGCAAAAUCAAUACUUGGAACUCAUUCAAUCACGGCUUCGAUGCCCUGAUGGAACCCAGUUAAAUGCUUCUUCUAACAGGCUCACGGAUCACACAUUCUCCACUAAGCUGCCAGCCAAGGUGAAUCCAGUCACAGCCCCUAAUGAAUGUCAUUUGCUGCUUUUAACAAAAACUGAUCGCUGAAGUCCAUGCGCUCACCACUCUCCCCCUGCCCUUUCUCGAGUUGAUUUUGUCACGGACUGAGACAAUGCAUUUAAUGCACAGAGAAGCUAUUUAGAAUGUGCCCUUCAGUAAUUCAUAUGCCGAGGCGACACAAAUUCAUCCUUGCGAAACAACACAUUUGGUUUGGAAAGCUUCGGGGACACUAUAUCUUUCACGACGUCAUGGAUGGCUUGGCACAGCCGACUACCAGCGAGAGAUGCGAAAGGCACUGACAGACACAGUGACUGGAAAAUUGCCAUAAAGGUUAGUGUCGAUGACGGCCUGCUGCAUAGAGAGAUCAAUUACGAGAGCUUUUUUAUUAUAUAUAUAAACAAAUUAGGCAUAAUCAGGCGUCACAUACCUUCACAAUUAUUGAAUAUGAGACGUCUUUAUACAGUAGCGGCAAUGGUGAUCGGCAUGUAACAGCUGCCAGCGUGCCCACAGUGCUACGAUGACUAACUGUGGAUUGAAAUUUAAUGGCUGUGAAUCGAGUCGCUUGAUUCGCAUCCUUGGUAAUGAUCUACAAUGCCUACAUUUCAUCAUCCCCACUGUCUGUUUGGUUGUCCUUUUCUUUCCUUUUUUUUUUCUUUUUUUUUUUCUUUUUUUUUUCACUUUUGGGGGUUACUUAUAGUUUAUUAUACUACAGUUGUGCCAGUCCUGAAUGGACCUCUCCCACUUUCCCUCUCUAUCUCUCUCUCACUCAACAUCAUGAGGUGUUCUCAUCCCGACUCCCACAUGAUCACUAUAAGCUUGCUUUGAUAGAAGCAUACUAAGGUUCUAUACCAGUGAUUCGUUCUUUCUAUGGAUUCCAGGGUCAAAUAGCUAUGCGAAAUACCACAGGUGUUCAGGAACAAAUUAGCUCUGGAAUAAUUUCACUCAAAUGUGCAAAUUAUCUAGAUUUUGUUCUUGUGAGUAAAGAACAGGGUCCUACAGUUAAGUUAACGCAACUGCGCUUCGAUGAAUCUCCAGUGCCGACCUGAUAUGUUCCAGCGCUUCCAAAGCUUUCUAUGUAAUUCAAUGUCGGAGAUAAAUCACUUUCCAGUGACCAAUUUGCUUCCUCGGCUUGUCUCGCGUCAUGACGGUAUCAUCAAUCCCUAUGACGGUGCAGAGAAAUUUAGUCUUGAGGCAGCUUUGUCAAGGCAGCCAGCAGAGUCAUAUGCUGCGGAAGGAGCUUGUCCUCGAUCACGACUAAAAUUUCAAAUUUCUAUCAGUCACCUGAGAUGCCUGGCCCACCCAGCGCACAGACAACAAUGGAAAACACUCAUCGCACAAUGUGUAUCAACUGCAUAGCCGCUUGAAUCACUCGCAUGCUUUCGUGUGUCGUUCGAAAUCUGCGGCCUCCGGGGACAUGACGAUCCCUCAGCAAUAGGAUUCCUCAUUCAAUCACCUAAGGAGCUCAUGGUUUCACUGCAUCGGAUCAAAUUCAUGGUGGAACUACGUAAACAUUCAAUAUUAUCUGCUUCAAGUGGGACAGUGGACACACGGAAUUUCAGCCUUCACGCGAGGGGAAAAAUAAUAAUAAUCAUGAUUGUUCCAUCGGAUUUUUCACUUCAACGCGCGUCCUGGGGUCUUCGCCUUGGAAGUUGCUCUCUCCAGUUAGUUGUGCAGCGGAUUGGGACCCGUGGGAACCAAGCGCUUCGACAUCCCCCAAAGGCUGCGGUCUCGUUGCCUCUGCCCAGGCGGCGACUCAGCCUCCACGUCCCAAAUCGGGUCCACAGCAUCAUCACCAGCUUUUGAAUUGGGCGGCAGGGCAUUCCGCCGCGCAUGAAAUGCAACACCCUUCUUCCCACCACCUUCCAUUCCCACAACCGAGUCCACAUUCGCGGAGUAGAGGGAUUCAGCCUCCGCAAUUCCUCUGUCGCCCACAUUGAGCAACCGCGUCGACUCAACACGCAUUGUCAUGCCGAGCACCAUCGUCAACACCAACAACACGACGACGACCAUUCCUACCACGGGCCCCUUCAUCAUCGCAGGCCACAAAUCUCCGCUGAACUCCAACCCACAAAACGCUCAACUCAAAAUCUCCAAUCGCACCAGCCACCCUCCGCCCUCAAUCUAGCACUAAAGCUUAACCCCACUACACUCGCCAGUUGAACCACGAAGAAUGACGCAAAAAUAUGUAAUUCCACACCUUAUGACACCUGGACAAUCGUCACAAACAACGUCGGGCCGGC
rnacentral:lncRNA from 1 species